rnacentral:rRNA from 1 species
AGUGAACGCUGGCGGUAGGCCUAACACAUGCAAGUCGAACGGCAGCACAGUAAGAGCUUGCUCUUACGGGUGGCGAGUGGCGGACGGGUGAGGAAUACAUCGGAAUCUACUUUUUCGUGGGGGAUAACGUAGGGAACCUUACGCUAAUACCGCAUACGACCUACGGGUGAAACCAGGGGUUCUUCGGACCUUGCGCGAUUGAAUGAGCCGAUGUCGGAUUAGCUAGUUGGCGGGGUAAAGGCCCACCAAGGCGACGAUCCGUAGCUGGUCUGAGAGGAUGAUCAGCCACACUGGAACUGAGACACGGUCCAGACUCCUACGGGAGGCAGCAGUGGGGAAUAUUGGACAAAGGGCGCAAGCCUGAUCCAGCCAUACCGCGUGGGUGAAGAAGGCCUUCGGGUUGUAAAGCCCUUUUGUUGGGAAAGAAAAGCAGCAGGUUAAUACCCCGCUGUUCUGACGGUACCCAAAGAAUAAGCACCGGCUAACUUCGUG